rnacentral:rRNA from 1 species
CAGAGGGUGCAAGCGUUGUUCGGAAUUAUUGGGCAUAAAGCGCGUGUAGGCGGCUUGGCAAGUCAGAUGUGAAAGCCCUCGGCUUAACCGAGGAAGUGCGUCUGAAACUGCUGAGCUUGAGUGUCGGAGAGGAUGGCGGAAUUCCGCAAGUAGAGGUGAAAUUCGUAGAUAUGCGGAGGAACACCGGUGGCGAAGGCGGCCAUCUGGACGACUACUGACGCUGAGACGCGAAAGCGUGGGGAGCAAACAGGAUUAGAUACCCUGGUAGUCCACGCUGUAAACGAUGAGAACUAGGUGUCGUGGGUGUUGACCCCCGCGGUGCCGCAGCUAACGCAUUAAGUUCUCCGCCUGGGAAGUACGGCCGCAAGGCUA